rnacentral:piRNA from 1 species
UGGUUGCCACUAAUUGGGAGAAAGAUGC